rnacentral:lncRNA from 1 species
UCCGGUAAACCCGACCGCUCCGUACGAGAUGUGGUGGAACGGCGGUGACGGCACUUGGGAUGGAUACCAGAGCAACCAGAGUGCUGCGCCUGGCUGGCUUAUGUCAGGUCUGGCAUCUGGAUUGGCAAGCAGGCUUCGGGGACGUUGGUCUGGGUCAUGUCUGAUUUGAUGUUCUGGCAUUUGGUGUCCGAUGUUUUGGACAGUAGAUGAGCUGAAAAAAACAACCGAAGCACGACUGGAACUUUGUCCGAAAAGUCUUGGUGAAAGGAAAGGGCAACAUCCUGCCCAGCCUCCACAUCACAGAAGCUGUCGUCCCUUAAAGUUGACACGCAGAUGCCAUUGGCUCAGGAGGACAGCAUCGACUUCGUUAUUGGUCAUCAAAGGACGAUGGAAAGGCCUCUUCAGAGUCUACAUGGGGUCUGCAGUGAGCGAGGACGAGG